UAACAUCGCACGUACCACAUUAACAUAAAUAGUUAUGAUAG
rnacentral:sRNA from 1 species